rnacentral:rRNA from 1 species
GACGAACGCUGGCGGCGUGCUUAACACAUGCAAGUCGAACGGAAAGGCCCUGCUUUUGUGGGGUGCUCGAGUGGCGAACGGGUGAGUAACACGUGAGUAACCUGCCCUUGACUUUGGGAUAACUUCAGGAAACUGGGGCUAAUACCGGAUAGGAGCUCCUGCUGCAUGGUGGGGGUUGGAAAGUUUCGGCGGUUGGGGAUGGACUCGCGGCUUAUCAGCUUGUUGGUGGGGUAGUGGCUUACCAAGGCUUUGACGGGUAGCCGGCCUGAGAGGGUGACCGGCAACAUUGGGAUGGAGAUACGGCCCAGACUCCUACGGGAGGCAGCAGUGGGGAAUAUUGCACAAUGGGCGGAAGCCUGAUGCAGCAACGCCGCGUGCGGGAUGACGGCCUUCGGGUUGUAAACCGCUUUCGCCUGUGACGAAGCGUGAGUGACGGUAAUGGGUAAAGAAGCACCGGCGAACUACGU